rnacentral:lncRNA from 1 species
UCCCCUAGUUUGAUCCAUUUAGCUCUUGACUUUUGCUGCAAAGCUGACUCUUCAAUUAAUGACCAUUUCUCUAGCUGUUGUACCAGAGAUUUUGAUCUUUGCUGAAGUGUGUCUGAAUAAGAGAUAGCCAUUUGAUGCUGCACAUCUUCCAGUUCUUUCCUGAUGCUUUCAAUCUUUUGAGAAAUAUUCUUAAAAUCUCUAAUAUUAAGAGAUUUUAAGGGAGGUUUGAUGCGGUUCGGUAUUGUUUCGAUUUAUU